GAAUUGCGAAAAGUAAUGUGAAUUGCAUAAUUCCGUGAAUCAUCAAAUCUUUGAACGCAUAUUGCGCUGCCUGGAAUUCCGGGCAGCAUGCCUGUUUGAGUAUCAGUUUAAACUAUCAAGACCUUGGUCUUGGAUUUGAGUCAUGUUAUUAACUGACUUUAAACAAAUGGAGUGCCCUUUCCCCGGCAUACAGAGCCAGUCCUUAACGGGAAUGUCUGUUUUGCAGUUGAUUUGGUAGGCCUACUAAACUUAACUUUUGAUCUCAAAUCAAGCAAGAUUACCCGCUGAACUUAA
rnacentral:misc_RNA from 1 species